AAGGUGGAUGAAGUGUGAAUGUCUGUCUGCUACAUAAUCAAUACAAUUAAAAUCCCCAGCCACUUAUUUCCGGUGAAGUGAUUAAAAUCCACUUUGUAUGUAGUUUAUGCUGUCCAUACUGCUCCUUUGCAGCAAUAUUUCAAGUUCAAUUUUGUUGGGAAAUUGCUUGGACCAAGAGGGAACUCCUUGAAGAGGUUACAAGAAGAAACAGGUGCAAAAAUGUCUAUCCUGGGAAAAGGCUCCAUGAGGGAUAAAGCUAAGUGAGAGACAGGAAUUGGAUACGUCAGUGAGGACAGAUCUGGAUACGUCACUGUUACUGGUUCCAAGGAAAAGACACUGAGAAUGUCCAUCGGCUGGAUAAUUGCAAUUAGCAUUUCAGAGAGGAUAUUUUAGGUUGAGAACAUGGUAAAACUUAAAGAAAAUACAUUUAACUGUGGGCAUAAAUAAUGGCCUAAAUUGCUAUUCACAUACAUACGUAAUACAGAAAGGGUAUUGAGGUGCUGGAGC